UGCCAGCCGCCGCGGUAAUACAGAGGGUGCAAGCGUUAAUCAGAAUUACUGGGCGUAAAGGGCGCGUAGGUGGUUUGUUAAGUCAGAUGUGAAAGCCCCGGGCUUAACCUGGGAAUUGCACCUGAUACUGGCAAGCUAGAGUGCAGUAGAGGGAAGUGGAAUUUCCGGUGUAGCGGUGAAAUGCGUAGAUAUCGGAAGGAACACCAGUGGCGAAGGCGACUUCCUGGGCCAAUACUGACGCUGAGGCGCGAAAGCGUGGGUAGCAAACAGGAUUAGAUA
rnacentral:rRNA from 1 species